rnacentral:rRNA from 1 species
CAGCAGCCACGGUAAUACGUAGGUGGCAAGCGUUGUCCGGGAUUAUUGGGCGUAAAGGGCUCGCAGGCGGUUUCUUAAGUCUGAUGUGAAAGCCCCCGGCUCAACCGGGGAGGGUCAUUGGAAACUGGGAAACUUGAGUGCAGAAGAGGAGAGUGGAAUUCCACGUGUAGCGGUGAAAUGCGUAGAGAUGUGGAGGAACACCAGUGGCGAAGGCGACUCUCUGGUCUGUAACUGACGCUGAGGAGCGAAAGCGUGGGGAGCGAACAGGAUUAGAUACCCGCGUAGUCCCUGUCUCUUAUAC